UAGGGAAUCUUCCGCAAUGGACGCAAGUCUGACGGAGCAACGCCGCGUGAGUGAAGAAGGAUUUCGGUUCGUAAAACUCUGUUGUUAGAGAAGAACAGCGCAUAGAGUAACUGUUAUGCGUGUGACGGUAUCUAACCAGAAAGCCACGGCUAACUACGUGCCAGCAGCCGCGGUAAUACGUAGGUGGCAAGCGUUGUCCGGAUUUAUUGGGCGUAAAGCGAGCGCAGGCGGUCAAUUAAGUCUGAUGUGAAAGCCCCCGGCUCAACCGGGGAGGGUCAUUGGAAACUGGUUGACUUGAGUGCAGAAGAGGAGAGUGGAAUUCCAUGUGUAGCGGUGAAAUGCGUAGAUAUAUGGAGGAACACCAGUGGCGAAGGCGACUCUAUGGUCUGUAACUGACGCUGAGGCUCGAAAGCGUGGGUAGCGAACAGG
rnacentral:rRNA from 1 species